UACGUAGGCAGCAAGCGUUGUUCGGAGUUACUGGGCGUAAAGCGUGCGCAGGCGGUUCGCUAAGACAGAUGUGAAAUCCCCGGGCUUAACCUGGGAACUGCAUUUGUGACUGGCGGGCUAGAGUAUGGCAGAGGGGGGGUAGAAUUCCACGUGUAGCAGUGAAAUGCGUAGAGAUGUGGAGGAAUACCGAUGGCGAAGGCAGCCCCCUGGGCCAAUACUGACGCUCAUGCACGAAAGCGUGGGGAGCAAACAGG
rnacentral:rRNA from 1 species